rnacentral:rRNA from 1 species
CUUAGAGUUUGAUCAUGGCUCAGAUUGAACGCUGGCGGCAUGCUUUACACAUGCAAGUCGAACGGCAGCACGGGGGCAACCCUGGUGGCGAGUGGCGAACGGGUGAGUAAUGCAUCGGAACGUAUCUUCAAGUGGGGGAUAACGCACCGAAAGGUGUGCUAAUACCGCAUAACCUCUACGGAGAAAAGCAGGGGAUCGCAAGACCUUGCGCUUUUGGAGCGGCCGAUGUCUGAUUAGCUAGUUGGUGAGGUAAAGGCUUACCAAGGCUUCGAUCAGUAGCUGGUCUGAGAGGACGACCAGCCACACUGGGACUGAGACACGGCCCAGACUCCUACGGGAGGCAGCAGUGGGGAAUUUUGGACAAUGGGGGAAACCCUGAUCCAGCCAUGCCGCGUGAGUGAAGAAGGCCUUCGGGUUGUAAAGCUCUUUCAGCCGGAACGAAACGGUCACGGCUAAUACCCGUGAUCACUGACGGUACCGGAAGAAGAAGCACCGGCUAACUACGUGCCAGCAGCCGCGGUACGCC